GGCCCCGUAGCUCAGUUGGUUAGAGCGCCGCCCUGUCACGGCGGAGGUCGCCGGUUCAAGUCCGGUCGGGGGCGCCA
rnacentral:tRNA from 1 species